rnacentral:rRNA from 1 species
UACGUAGGGUGCAAGCGUUGUCCGGAAUUAUUGGGCGUAAAGAGCUCGUAGGCGGUUUGUCGCGUCGGCUGUGAAAUCCCGAGGCUCAACCUCGGGUCUGCAGUCGAUACGGGCAAACUGGAGUGUUGCAGGGGAGACUGGAAUUCCUGGUGUAGCGGUGAAAUGCGCAGAUAUCAGGAGGAACACCGGUGGCGAAGGCGGGUCUCUGGGCAACAACUGACGCUGAGGAGCGAAAGCGUGGGGAGCGAACAGG